UGCGUAGGCAGCGAGCGUUGUUCGGAGUUACUGGGCGUAAAGGGUGUGUAGGCGGUUGUUUAAGUUUGGUGUGAAAUCUCCCGGCUCAACUGGGAGGGUGCGCCGAAUACUGAAUGACUAGAGUGCGGGAGAGGAAAGUGGAAUUCCUGGUGUAGCGGUGAAAUGCGUAGAUAUCAGGAGGAACACCGGUGGUGUAGACGGCUUUCUGGACCGUAACUGACGCUGAGACACGAAAGCGUGGGUAGCAAACAGG
rnacentral:rRNA from 1 species